UUAGGCCCCUCGGGUUCCCAGACUGGAGGAGGCGAGCGGGGGGAAAGGCAGUGAGUGACGUCCAGGGAGGGACGCUGAGGAGGGGGAGCCCGAAAGCCAGUAGCAGGCAGGCAAGAUGUGAAAAGAAGGGCUCUUUGGGUUUUGCAUCGUGGGCAGAAUUAAGUUGAGAUGAGGCACAGGUGCUGGGGUUAGCAAAUUAUGCAGAAGGACAUUUUAAGGCUUUGCGCGUGAGGCGGAAGCGUGAGCUCUGGGAAGACAUAAAUUGUCCUUCGUCAAAACUUAGGAAGAAAGCCAGUGGCAGCUAGUUCCUCAAAAAUCACUUGAUAUAUUUGUGGAGGAAACCAAAAGAAUGGGGGUGUCUUUGUAAGAGGUGCUGUGUUCCGGCAAAAUGUGGCUUUGCUCUCUUGGCUCUCUGGGGUUUAAUCAACACGACUACCCUCUCCCCGAUGGUUGUCUUUGGGGAAGUCUGGAGGAAUGGGCCCUUUUCUGAAGCUGGUGACUCGGGAGAAGUUAAGCCAAUACGCCGGCUCCAGUUGUGCGUGGAUAAGCCGCACCAUUUCUGCGUGAUGUGCAGUCCGCGACGCUGAGCCAUUUGUUCUCCAUUGAGUUGGUCUCUGUACAGAUGAAGCCUUUUAUUCAUCCUAGCUAUAAAGUGGCACCGGGGAGUAUAAUAAAUGAGAAACUUUCACACUGAUGUUGAUGCAAAGUGCCUUUCUUUUCCAAACAUCUGGCCCCUUGCUAAAUCGU
rnacentral:lncRNA from 1 species